UCUAACGAGGUUGUCUGUUACAUUCUUUCUUUUCUUCCAACCGUAGAUGCUGUUGCAACCUGCGUUCUCUCCAAAAGCGUGCAUGAUCUCCAUCAACCUCUCCAAAGAAUCCGCUUUAGAUGAUACAUUAAAUAAUGUUAUCAUAUUGCAACCUGUAAUCCUACAACUUUCUACCAAUUGGAUACCAUUAUCACUGCUGUGCAACACAGACUUGAACAUCUUGAUCUCUCUCUCUACCUUAUAUAAACUUACCCUCUGUCGUACUUAGCUGCAAAACUCUCGUGGUGUUUAAAUUGAUGCACUCACGUUUGAAAGCUUUUUCCCCUGUUAAUAUUCCUUUGCUUAAAUUCCUGUGUUUGUGUCAUGUUACUUUCACAGAAUAUAGACUUCUCGCUGAGCUUCUUUCUGGGUGUCUUAAUCUUGAGGACCUGGAAGUCACUAAUAUAUACAUUCUUAGCCAUGUAAUUGAAGCAAAGUUUAAAAGUUGUCCAAAUUAGUCAGAGUUUCUAUGGAUAAAAAUAUAAUUCCAUUGGAAGUUGUUUACAAUAUUCAGUUCCUGAGCAUAGAACUGGUACUGACUACUUGAUUUGUUUGUUCUUUCUUUCUAUUUUGAAUGAAGAUGAAAAUUUAUGAUAUUUUGUUGUUGGGAUGUACCUCUUACAUACGGAUUUCAACGAAGUCGAAUUCAUUGAAGAAUUGAUUCCCGAAUUUUACAAUUUAACCAGCAAUGAAUUCGGUUAUUUGGAACAUACUAAUGACUGGCUGGAGGUGUUGAAAGUGAUCAAGCAUUGUACAAAACUUCAAAAUCUUGUCAUUAAUCAGGUUGAAUCCCGUCCUGACGCUGAUAGGAGAGAGUGGCAAUAUCCAUUAUAUGUUCCUAAAUGCAUCCCUUCACACCUUAAAACAUGCCGUAUUAAUAAUUAUGGUGGCCAUGAAACUGAGUUUGAAUUUGCAAGAUGUAUCAUGUAAAAUGCAAGACUAUUACAGGACAUGACAAUCUGCAUUUAUUUCAAGACAAAUGAACGGGAAAAGCAUUAAAUGAUAAAAUGUUAUCCUUGUGCACAAGGUUUUCUUCAAUUUGUAAACUUACGGUUAAUUGUUUAGAUGAUAAUGAUAUUUGGGUAGUUAGUUGCGUUAUGUGAUUCGUGUGAAGAGGCUGCCGUGGAAUUUUAGGGGCAACCAUACGAUUUUCAUUGAUGGAUUGCUUUGGGAUGUUCAUAACUGGUUUUUCAACCAUGCUUCUGGGUAUGCUGUGUUCAUGUUCAGGACCAGGAGUGGCUUGGAUAGCAGAUUGUGGUUGCAGGAGAAGAUUGCUCAGAAAGAUAAAGAUAGAGUUGAAUUGUCCUUGUUGAUCUAUGCCUGUAAGAACAGGAGAAUAAAGUUAAGAAUCUUGCGAAUGAAUAGAAACCAUAUUAUUCUACCUUGUCCUCUACAAUUUUGUUUGUAGUUGUUCACUAUAACGUUGUUCCUUACAAUCUUGCGAAUAAAGUUUUUUUCAAACUUCUUUCUGUUCAUUUGCCAGUGCUUUAUAAAAAAUGCUAUGUUACUAGUACUCCACCCGUAAAUGCAUAAUUUAGCACUUUCAUAAUAAAUGCAUUGUCUCAUAAUUUAGCACCUUCUUAAUAUGGUAAAUGAAGGAAAUUUCUUUGUUUGAAUUUGGUUAAAGGGACAUGUUGGAAUUUUUUUUUAUAGAAUACCAUGUAGUACAAAAGCAGCUAAAUUUAUUAAUUACAUAUUGACUGAUUUUUUUUUUUGUAUAGGAUAACAUGUUAUCGAUAUAAAAUAUGACAUAAUAAAUGUUUUGUCUCAUAAUUUAGCACCAAAACAAUACGAUAACAUGUGGAGGAAUUCCUGUAUGGUUGAAGUACAUUCCUGCAUAAGCUUCAGAAUGGAUAAUGGGUCUUUCAAGGCGGCGAUGCAAGGUUUCACGCAUAAAAUUUUCCAGAUGAUGAAGAACGAGAAGUUGUUUCAAUCUCAUGGUGGUCCAAUCAAUCUCUCUUAGAUUGAGAAUGAGUACGGACCAGAGAGUAGAGGAGCUGCUGGCCGUGCAUACGUAAACUGGGCUUCAACUGCAAGUAUGGCUGUUGGGUUGGGUACAGGAAUGCCAUGGGUGAUGUGCAAGGAAAAUGAUGCCCCACAUCUUGAGGUGAGGAGGAGGGACCUGUUAUGCUUAUAUGUUUGGUCGUCAAAGUGGUGACAAUAUUAUUGUGACUUAAGAGAUUUUCUACUCUAUGAGAAGCAAGAAGGAGAGGAAAGGAUGGAUGACGAUCAAAAUUGACUUUGAGAAAGCUUAUGAGGAUUUAGUCCGUGAUACCUUGCAUGAUGUGGGCAUUCCAGAGAAUAUUUGGGUCCAUGAAAGUUUUAUGGAAUGCCAAGGCUUUGGAAGAUUUUACUCCCUCUAGAGGUAUUGGCUAGGGAAAUCCGUUCUCCUUAUUUCUUUGUCAUGUUUUUCAAAUAAUUAAUCUAACUGUGUGCCGGUGGAAACCUAUUUCUUUGAGUAAACAUAACUCUCCCAUUUCUUA